GUGAGGCUUCGGCCUUAUCGAGAUAGAACCCUUGCCUUUAUAGUACCUUCUGUUGCCUCGGCAAUGCGUAAUAGCACAGCCAAUGGGGCCAAAAAAUAAACCUUUGUAUUAUAGUCAUAGUCUGAAAAACAAACAAAAAUUAAAACUUUCAACAACGGAUCUCUUGGUUCU
rnacentral:misc_RNA from 1 species